GGAGAAGAGAGAAGUAGAGAGAGGAG
rnacentral:sRNA from 1 species